UACGAAGGGGGCUAGCGUUGCUCGGAAUGACUGGGCGUAAAGGGCGCGUAGGCGGUUUGUACAGUCAGGUGUGAAAUUCCCGGGCUCAACCUGGGGGCUGCACUUGAUACGUAUGGACUGGAGUGGGGAAGAGGGUCGUGGAAUUCCCAGUGUAGAGGUGAAAUUCGUAGAUAUUGGGAAGAACACCGGUGGCGAAGGCGGCGACCUGGUCCUUGACUGACGCUGAGGAGCGAAAGCCAGGGGAGCAAACGGG
rnacentral:rRNA from 1 species